rnacentral:lncRNA from 1 species
CCACAGGACAGCAGGUGCCAGGCUUCCCAACAGCUCCAACCCGGGUGGUGAUUGCCCGGCCCACUCCUCCACAGGCUCGGCCUUCCCAUCCUGGAGGGCCCCCAGUCUCUGGGACACUGCAGGGCGCCGGUCUGGGUACCAAUGCCUCGUUGGCCCAGAUGGUGAGCGGCCUUGUGGGGCAGCUUCUUAUGCAGCCAGUCCUUGUGGCUCAGGGGACCCCAGGUAUGGCUCCACCGCCAGCCCCUGCCACUGCUUCUGCCAGUGCUGGCACCACCAACACAGCUACCACAGCUGGCCCCGCUCCUGGGGGGCCUGCCCAGCCUCCACCCACCCCUCAACCCUCCAUGGCUGAUCUUCAGUUCUCUCAGCUUCUGGGGAACCUGCUAGGGCCUGCAGGGCCAGGGGCUGGAGGGUCUGGUGUGGCUUCUCCCACCAUCACUGUGGCGAUGCCUGGUGUCCCUGCCUUUCUCCAAGGCAUGACUGACUUCUUGCAGGUGAGUGGCUGGCUUGCCAUUCACCUCAUCUUCCUGUCCCCCGGCCCAGCCAGGCAGUGGUACCUUCUUGCCAUUAUAUAACCACUGGGUAAGAGCCCCUAGUGACAUGUUAGGGGAAGGGGCCCUGGGAAUUCAUUGACUCUGA